AGUGAACGCUGGCGGUAGGCCUAACACAUGCAAGUCGAACGGCAGCACAGUAAGAGCUUGCUCUUACGGGUGGCGAGUGGCGGACGGGUGAGGAAUACAUCGGAAUCUACUUUUUCGUGGGGGAUAACGUAGGGAAACUUACGCUAAUACCGCAUACGACCUACGGGUGAAAGCAGGGGAUCUUCGGACCUUGCGCGAUUGAAUGAGCCGAUGUCGGAUUAGCUAGUUGGCGGGGUAAAGGCCCACCAAGGCGACGAUCCGUAGCUGGUCUGAGAGGAUGAUCGGCCACACUGGAACUGAGACACGGUCCAGACGCCUACGGGAGGCAGCAGUGGGGAAUAUUGGACAAUGGGCGCAAGCCUGAUCCAGCCAUACCGCGUGGGUGAAGAAGGCCUUCGGGUUGUAAAGCCCUUUUGUUGGGAAAGAAAAGCAGCAGGUUAAGACCCCGCUGUUCUGACGGUACCCAAAGAAUAAGCACCGGCUAACUUCGUG
rnacentral:rRNA from 1 species